AAGGCGACGGCUCCUUCACUUGCCGCCACCUCCCUCCGGAGGAAGGCACUUCUGCGCUGGUCAUCUCGGGGGGAUAAAUACGGCAAUUCUGACUCAACCGACCAGCGGCUGCACUUCGUGAGUCCUGGUGGUGCGCGUGCGCUCUGCCUUUGGGCGUUGUCCGAGUGUCGCGCUCGAGACUCACCGGCAGCCGGAAUUCCAAGUUCUCUUGAGCCAGCAGGAGCAGGUACCGCGUAAGCACCGCGUUCGCCGACGCCAUAGUCUCGCCGUCUUUCGAAGCCCGCAUGCGUGCGGCCGAACAGCGUCACUGUGGAAAGGCGGUGCUUAGCGCAGGGGAAGAAGGAAAUGAUGAGAACUGAACCCAGGAACGGAAUAGACGAUGCCGUAAAAAGGGGGCUUCCACGUCCUAGAAAGGCGACAUUACUCUGUACCAGGGUUUAAGCUGUGAUCUCAGAGCUCUGCUU